UUGGCGGGCCGGCGAAUUCGCCCUUAUUAGAUACCCUGGGUAGUCCACGCAGUAAACGAUGAAUGCCGGCUGUUUGGGUUAAAUGAGACCUGAGCGGCGAAGCGAAAGCGAUAAGCAUUCCACCUGGGGAGUACGCCGGCAACGGUGAAACUCAAAGGAAUUGACGGGGGCCCGCACAAGCGGAGGAACAUGUGGUUUAAUUCGAUGAUACGCGAGGAACCUUACCCGGGCUCAAACGGCGGAGGACAGGCGCAGAGACGUGCCCUCCUUCGGGUCUCCGCCGAGGUGCUGCAUGGUUGUCGUCAGCUCGUGCCGUGAGGUGUCGGCUUAAGUGCCAUAACGAGCGCAACCCCCAUCGCCAGUUGCCAACAGGUAAAGCUGGGAACUCUGGCGAGACUGCCGGCGCAAGCUGCGAGGAAGGCGGGGAUGACGUCAAAUCAGCACGGCCCUUACGUCCGGGGCGACACACGUGUUACGAUGGCAGGUACAGCGGGAAGCCACCGGGCGACCGGGAGCAGAACCCGAAAACCUGUCUCAGUUCGGAUUGGAGUCUGCAACUCGACUCCAUGAAGCUGGAUUCGCUAGUAAUCGCGCAUCAGCCACGGCGCGGUGAAUACGUUCCCGGGCCUUGUACACACCGCCCGUCAAGCCAUGGGAGUCGGGAGUGCCUGAAGUACGUGACCGCAAGGAGCGUCCUAAGGCAAAACUGAUGACUGGGCUAAGUCGUAACAAGGUACC
rnacentral:rRNA from 1 species